UACGUAGGGCGCAAGCGUUAUCCGGAAUUAUUGGGCGUAAAGAGCUCGUAGGCGGUUUGUCGCGUCUGCCGUGAAAACUUGGGGCUCAACCCCAAGCCUGCGGUCGAUACGGGCAGGCUCGAGUUCGGUAGGGGAGACUGGAAUUCCUGGUGUAGCGGUGAAAUGCGCAGAUAUCAGGAGGAACACCGAUGGCGAAGGCAGGUCUCUGGGCCGAUACUGACGCUGAGGAGCGAAAGCGUGGGGAGCGAACAGG
rnacentral:rRNA from 1 species